CACAUUUUUGCGCCUGUACAUAAUUUUUCCCAAUGUUAGAUACAAAAUUGCACCUACAAACAACGGUCUUCUCUGUGGGUCGUCGUCUCCGUCAACUGGAUGAGAGAGGAGAGAGAACCAUACCAUGGAAGCUCUGCUUAGGCUUCUUCGAGUAGCUCUAGUGUCUCAGUCGUGGCUCACUUCUCUCUCCUCGCCAAAUCUUCUUCUUUCUCCUCGCAGGAGUUUCAGAUCGUCAAUGUCGAAAGCAGAAAUUGGAAAUAAAGCCGCGGUAUGCCUUUAUUUGGGGGGUCACUGGAUAUGGAAUACCGUUGCAAGACUUCCUUUUUUGAGUCAUCUCAUGUAGCCCCCUCACUUCACUUCAGCUUUUGGAUAUCCUCUUGUUGAGGCAGUGGCAGACGAGUUGACCAUGAAAGUGGGUGGUUCUGCCAGAGAGGUCAAAA